UCCUCAGUAGCGUAGCGGUAGCGCGUCUCCCUCGUAAGGAGAAGGUCGUCGGUUCAAUCCCGGCCUGAGGCA